AUUGAACGCUGGCGGCAGGCCUAACACAUGCAAGUCGAGCGGCAGCGGAAAGUAGCUUGCUACUUUGCCGGCGAGCGGCGGACGGGUGAGUAAUGUCUGGGAAACUGCCUGAUGGAGGGGGAUAACUACUGGAAACGGUAGCUAAUACCGCAUAACGUCGCAAGACCAAAGAGGGGGACCUUCGGGCCUCUUGCCAUCAGAUGUGCCCAGAUGGGAUUAGCUAGUAGGUGGGGUAAUGGCUCACCUAGGCGACGAUCCCUAGCUGGUCUGAGAGGAUGACCAGCCACACUGGAACUGAGACACGGUCCAGACUCCUACGGGAGGCAGCAGUGGGGAAUAUUGCACAAUGGGCGCAAGCCUGAUGCAGCCACGCCGCGUGUAUGAAGAAGGCCUUCGGGUUGUAAAGUACUUUCAGCGGGGAGGAAGGUGUUGAGGUUAAUAAUCUCAGCAAUUGACGUUACCCGCAGAAGAAGCACCGGCUAACUCCGUGCCAGCCGCCGCGGUAA
rnacentral:rRNA from 1 species